UAGCCUUCCGGACGGUUGCCACUAGUUGGGCGCAAUUGAUACACAAGGACACACACAAACUGGGCUGUCUUCGUACGGAAGGUGGCUUACAAAGCUCUUGGUAAGACAACACACUCGGCACAGGCUUCAAUAAAAUUUCUGCUUCAAUACCAGCAGGCGCCACAAGAAAUAUCACCGUUCACAGUCCGAUGGCCUGAUGGUAGCUGGGUAAAGUCUCGCAACUAGCUGAUUUUUUUCCGCAAUAAAAUAUCGCACUUUCCCCCUUUAUAGCUAGGAUGGCCAGUGUUAUUCUUCAAACCACAGGAAUCACUUUCUAUACACAAAAGAAAUGACAAAAUCACAAAUCUACUACAAAUUUUAGGAACCACAGUUCACUCACAUUCAAAUCUGUUCACACAAUACACGAAGAUAAAAAUUAA